UGGGGAAUAUUGGGCAAUGGGCGCAAGCCUGACCCAGCAAUGCCGCGUGAAGGAAGAAGGCCCUCGGGUUGUAAACUUCUUUUAUCAGGGACGAAGGAUGUGACGGUACCUGAUGAAUAAGCUCCGGCUAACUACGUGCCAGCAGCCGCGGUAAUACGUAGGGAGCAAGCGUUAUCCGGAUUUACUGGGUGUAAAGGGCGCGUAGGCGGGAUGGCAAGUCAGAUGUGAAAUCCAAGGGCUCAACCUUGAACUGCAUUUGAAACUGUCGUUCUUGAGUACUGGAGAGGUUGACGGAAUUCCUAGUGUAGCGGUGAAAUGCGUAGAUAUUAGGAGGAACACCAGUGGCGAAGGCGGUCAACUGGACAGCAACUGACGCUGAGGCGCGAAAGCGUGGGGAGCAAACAGGAUUAGAUACC
rnacentral:rRNA from 1 species